rnacentral:misc_RNA from 1 species
AGCAGCCGCGGUAAUUCCAGCUCCAAUAGCGUAUAUUAAAGUUGCUGCAGUUAAAAAGCUCGUAGUUGAAUUUCGGGACCAUCAUGUCGGUCGUGCCUCGGUACGUACUGGCAUUGUUGGUUUCUACCUUCUGACGAACCAUGAUGUCAUUUAUUUGGUGUCGUGGGAAAUCAGGACUGUUACUUUGAAAAAAUUAGAGUGUUUAAAGCAGGCUCACGCUUGAAUACAUUAGCAUGGAAUAAUGAAAUAGGACGUUUGAUUCUAUUUUGUUGGUUUCUAGGAUCGACGUAAUGAUUAAUAGGGAUAGUUGGGGGCAUUAGUAUUCAAUUGUCAGAGGUGAAAUUCUUGGAUUUAUUGAAGACUAACUACUGCGAAAGCAUUUGCCAAGGAUGUUUUCAUUAAUCAAGAACGAAAGUUAGGGGAUCGAAGACGAUCAGAUACCGUCGUAGUCUUAACUAUAAACUAUGCCGACUAGGGAUCGGAUGAUGUUAAUUUUUUAANGACUCAUUCGGCGCCUUAC